rnacentral:rRNA from 1 species
GAUGAACGCUGGCGGCGUGCCUAAUACAUGCAAGUCGAGCGAACGGACGAGAAGCUUGCUGCUCUGAUGUUAGCGGCGGACGGGUGAGUAACACGUGGAUAACCUACCUAUAAGACUGGGAUAACUUCGGGAAACCGGAGCUAAUACCGGAUAAUAUUUUGAACCGCAUGGUUCAAAAGUGAAAGACGGUCUUGCUGGCACGUAUAGAUGGAUCUGCGCUUCAUUAGCUAGUUGGUAAGUUAACGGCCUACGAAGGCUACGAUGCAUAGCCGACCUGAGAGGGUGAUCGGCCACACUGGAACUGAGACACGGUCCAGAGUCCUACGGGAGGCAGCAGUCGGGAAUCGUACGCAAUGGGCGAAAGCCUGACGGAGCAACGCCGAGUGAGUGAUGAAGGUGUUCGGAUCGUAAAACUCUGUUAUUAGUGAAGAACAUAUGUGUAAGUAGCUGUGCACAUCUUGACGGUACCUAAUAAGAAAGCCACGGCUAACUACGUG